GUCUACGGCCAUGCUGCCCUGAACAAGCGUGAUCCCAUCUGAUCUUGGAAGCUAAGCAGGUUUGAGCCUGGUUAGUACUUGGAUGGGAGAUCAUCUAAGAAGAACAGGUGCUGUAGGCA
rfam:Pteropus alecto contig67803, whole genome shotgun sequence.